ensembl:snRNA U6 U6 spliceosomal RNA
GUUCACUUCAGCAGCACAUUUACUAAAAUUGGAACAAAACAAAAAUUAGCAUGGCCCCUGAGCAAGAAUGACACCUAAAUUCCUGAAAUGUUCCAUAUUUUU